GAUGAACGCUGGCGGCGUGCCUAAUACAUGCAAGUCGAACGCUUCUUUCCUCCCGAGUGCUUGCACUCAAUUGGAAAGAGGAGUGGCGGACGGGUGAGUAACACGUGGGUAACCUACCCAUCAGAGGGGGAUAACACUUGGAAACAGGUGCUAAUACCGCAUAACAGUUUAUGCCGCAUGGCAUAAGAGUGAAAGGCGCUUUCGGGUGUCGCUGAUGGAUGGACCCGCGGUGCAUUAGCUAGUUGGUGAGGUAACGGCUCACCAAGGCCACGAUGCAUAGCCGACCUGAGAGGGUGAUCGGCCACACUGGGACUGAGACACGGCCCAGACUCCUACGGGAGGCAGCAGUAGGGAAUCUUCGGCAAUGGACGAAAGUCUGACCGAGCAACGCCGCGUGAGUGAAGAAGGUUUUCGGAUCGUAAAACUCUGUUGUUAGAGAAGAACAAGGACGUUAGUAACUGAACGUCCCCUGACGGUAUCUAACCAGAAAGCCACGGCUAACUACGCG
rnacentral:rRNA from 1 species